rnacentral:rRNA from 1 species
AACGAACGCUGGCGGCAGGCUUAACACAUGCAAGUCGAACGCAUCCUUCGGGGUGAGUGGCAGACGGGUGAGUAACGCGUGGGAACGUGCCCUUCAGUUCGGGAUAACCCAGGGAAACUUGGGCUAAUACCGGAUACGUGCGAGAGCAGAAAGAUUUAUCGCUGAAGGAUCGGCCCGCGUCUGAUUAGCUAGUUGGUGGGGUAAUGGCCCACCAAGGCGACGAUCAGUAGCUGGUCUGAGAGGAUGAUCAGCCACAAUGGGGCUGAGACACGGCCCAAACUCCUACGGGAGGCAGCAGUGGGGAAUAUUGGACAAUGGGCGCAAGCCUGAUCCAGCCAUGCCGCGUGAGUGAUGAAGGCCUUAGGGUUGUAAAGCUCUUUCGUCCGGGACGAUAAUGACGGUACCGGAAGAAGAAGCCCCGGCUAACUUCGUGCCAGCAGCCGCCGUAAAAC